GGGGCGUUAGCUCAGUUGAUUAGAGCGCUUCAAUGGCAUUGAAGAGGUCAUGAGUUUGAGUCUCAUACGCUCCACCA
rnacentral:tRNA from 1 species